rnacentral:rRNA from 1 species
AUGCAUGUCCUAAGUGCAAGCCGUCCAGCACGGUGAAACCGCGAAAGGCUCAUUAAAUCAGUUAUGGUUCCUUAGAUCGUACCCACGUUACAUGGAUAACUGUGGUAAUUCUAGAGCUAAUACAUGCCCACAGAGCUCCGACCAGCGUUCCAGUCGUUCGGCGGGUUCGCGCCCGUCGUCGCUGGUCGUUCGGAAGGAGCGCUUUUAUUAGAUCAAAACCGGCCAAGCGUGUCGUUCGCGCUUCGCGCGCGUACGCGCGUAAGUGGCCCGCGCAAAGACUUGACGACUCUGAAUAACUUCGAGCUGAUCGCACGGUCCUCGUACCGGCGACGUAUCUUUCAAAUGUCUGCCUUAUCAACUGUCGACGGUAGGUUCUACGCCUACCGUGGUGGUAACGGGUAACGGGGAAUCAGGGUUCGAUUCCGGAGAGGGAGCCUGAGAAACGGCUACCACAUCCAAGGAAGGCAGCAGGCGCGCAAAUUAUCC